rnacentral:tRNA from 1 species
GGAGCGAUGGCCGAGCGGUUUAAGGCGCACGCCUGGAAAGCGUGUUGGGGGGCAACUCCCUCGAGGGUUCGAAUCCCUCUCGCUCCGCCA